UUCUGCAGAAAUGCAGGAUUCUGGGAUUAUGGAGUCAUGGAGCCUUCCACUGAGAUGUCAAAGGAAGGCUUGGGAAACCAAGCAAAGUGUAGCAGGGUCAUAGUUCCUGCAGGCAGCCUCUGGGAAGGUAAUACAUGAAGAUAUGAGAAGAUGAAGAUGCAGAAAUCAAACAGAAACAAGCCAAAAAAAAAAAACAAUCAGCGAUACCACGUGGGCAGGGAUACACAGCCCUUCAUAAAGAACUCAUGAUGCCCUAGGCCCCAGAUGUUGGACAUGGAUCUGUAGACUUAUUUGCCCAGCUGAUUUCAGUCUCUUUCUAUGCCCCUGUUUUUAUCAGUUUUUUCAUUGUGAUGACCAAAAGAUCUGACAAGAACAAUUAGAAGAAUUUAUUUUGGAGCUCAUGAUUUCAGAGGUCUCAGUUCACAGACAGCUCCAUUCUUCAUGUCUCAAAGUGAGGCAGAACAUCAUGGUGGAAGAGUGUGGCAGAGGAAAGCAGCUCAGGACAUUGUACCAGGAAGCAGAGAGAGUGCUCCACUCAACAAGGACAAAAUAUACACUCCAAAAGCAUGUCCCCAGGGACCUACUUCCUCCAGCCUCACCCUACCUACCUAUAGUUACCACCCAGUUAAUCCCUAUAAGGGGAUUAAUGCACUGAUUAGGUCAAGGCUCUUGUAACCCAAUAAUUUCACCUCUAAAAUUUCUUGCAUUGUCUCACACGUGAGCUUUUGGGAUACCUAAUAUUUUGGAAAGGAAAUAUUUACUCUGUACUAUUAUAUAUGGGAUAUUCAUAAUAUGCUUUUGAUCUUACUCUCAGCUAAGAGUUUGCCUUGAAUUUUAGAUGAGAUGUUGGACUUGGACUUUUGGGUAAUGCUGGAAAUGUUAAGAAUAUAGACACUCUUAUAAAUAUGUUAAAUGUAUUUUGCAUUGUGAGAUGGCAAUGAGCUUUGCAGGGCUAGAAGUGAAAAGUUACACUUUAAACAGGAGGUGUCACACAAAAUCUUGUGUGAGACAAUGAAAGGAUUUUCAGAGAUGAAAUUACUAGGUUAUGUGAAUUAUCCCCUGAUCAGUGACUUAAUCCACUGAUAUGAAUUAAUUGAGUGCUUUCUGUAGGCAGGUAAAGUGUGGCUAGAGAAAGUAAGUCACUGGAAGUGUGCCUUUGGGGUUUAUAUUUUUUCCCUGGUGAGCAGAACUCUCUCUCUCUCUCUCUCUGCUUCACGGUUGCCAUAUCCUGAGUUGCUUCCCUCUUCCAUGUCCUUCUGCCAUGAUGUUCUGCCUCACCUCAGGGUCAGAGCCAUAGAGUCAGCUUACUGUGGACUAAACCUCCGAAACCAUGAGCCAAAAUAAACUUUUCCUCCUCUAAAUUGUUCUUAUCAGGCAUUUGGUCACAGCAAUGAAAAAGAUGAUUGUCCACAUUAGCAUUUUCAUAAUAACCCUAAAGUAGAAACAACUCAAAUAUUCACUAAUUCAUUUAAUGAAAUAUUAUUCAGCCAUAAAGACUGAAGAACUGAUACAUAUUACAACAUGGAUGAACCUUGAAAAUAUUAUGCUAGUUAAAAGAAGCCAGACAACAAAGAGCCACAUAUUAUAUGAUUUUAUUUAUAUAAAAUAUCCAGAACAGGUAACCUCAUAGAGAUAGAAAAUAAUUUAGUGGUUUCCAGGGGCUUGGAGAGGGAGAGAACAGAAUGUGAUUGCUAAUGGGUGAAGAGUUUCUUUUUAAGGUAAUAAAAAUGUUAGAAAAUUAUAUAAUGGUGAUGGUUGCACAAUUCUGUG
rnacentral:lncRNA from 1 species